UCCGAGUUGACCCCGGCAGUCUCCCAUGAGUCCCCGCCAUAACGCGCUGGCAACAUGGAACGAGGGUUGCGCUCGUUGCGGGACUUAACCCAACAUCUCACGACACGAGCUGACGACAGCCAUGCACCACCUGUGAUCGUGCCCCGAAGGGAGGCCGUGUUUCCACGGCGGUCAGGCACAUGUCAAACCCAGGUAAGGUUCUUCGCGUUUCGUCGAAUUAAACCACAUGCUCCGCUGCUUGUGCGGGUCCCCGUCAAUUCCUUUGAGUUUUAGCCUUGCGGCCGUACUCCCCAGGCGGGGCACUUAAUGCGUUAGCUCCGGCACGGGAGGAGUCGACACCUCCCACACCUAGUGCCCAUCGUUUACGGCGUGGACUAC
rnacentral:misc_RNA from 1 species